rnacentral:rRNA from 1 species
CUACUUAGGUGGCCCGCGUUGUCCUGCUUUAUUUUUCGUACCUCUAGCGCAGGCGGUUUCUUACGUCUGAUGUGAAAGCCCCCGGCUCAACCGGGGAGGGUCAUUGGAAACUGGGAGACUUGAGUGCAGAAGAGGAGAGUGGAAUUCCAUGUGUAGCGGUGAAAUGCGUAGAUAUAUGGAGGAACACCAGUGGCGAAGGCGGCUCUCUGGUCUGUAACUGACGCUGAGGCUCGAAAGCGUGGGGAGCAAACAGGAUUAGAUACCCUGGUAGUCCACGCCGUAAACGAUGAGUGCUAAGUGUUGGAGGGUUUCCGCCCUUCAGUGCUGCAGCUAACGCAUUAAGCACUCCGCCUGGGGAGUACGACCGCAAGGUUGAA